AACCGAUACAGGUGGUCAGGUAGAGAAUACCAAGGCGCUUGAGAGAACUCGGGUGAAGGAACUAGGCAAAAUGGUGCCGUAACUUCGGGAGAAGGCACGCUGACAUGUAGGUGAAGUGAUUUACUCAUGGAGCUGAAGUCAGUCGAAGAUACCAGCUGGCUGCAACUGUUUAUUAAAAACACAGCACUGUGCAAACACGAAAGUGGACGUAUACGGUGUGACGCCUGCCCGGU
rnacentral:rRNA from 1 species